UACGAAGGGGGCUAGCGUUGCUCGGAAUCACUGGGCGUAAAGCGCACGUAGGCGGAUUGUUAAGUUGGGGGUGAAAUCCUGGAGCUCAACUCCAGAACUGCCUUCAAUACUGGCAAUCUCGAGUCCGGAAGAGGUAAGUGGAACUCCUAGUGUAGAGGUGGAAUUCGAUAGAUAUUAGGAAGAACACCAGUGGCGAAGGCGGCUACUGGUCCGGUACUGACGCUGAGGUGCGAAAGCGUGGGGAGCAAACAGG
rnacentral:rRNA from 1 species